UGGCCAAAGCAAGUAUGAAUACUGCAAAAGAGUUUUCAUGAAAUUCACAAAUGAACUCGAGUCGAGCCAAUCUUACAUAAGACUGGCGAUGGGGUUUGACAAAUUCUCCAUGACCUCCGUUAAGUCGGAACUCAUGAUAAAAGGACUAAAUCAUAUGAUAACUGCACCUAGGAGUUCGUAUUUUUAUUCUACUGAAUCGUUACUAUAUACUGCUAGGUGUCAUUGGU
rnacentral:lncRNA from 1 species